rnacentral:RNase_P_RNA from 1 species
GGUAGUGGUGGCAGGAAGCUUACGGUGCCUAGCACUGAGGAAAGUCCGCCCACCGAGUAUCAUGGCCACUCUUGCAUGAGAGAAGGAGAAAUCCUUGGCAAUGGCUCCGAAACGACACGUCUCGUGAAACUGGGAUGAUAUGGCGAAGUUUACUGCGAAGUGAAUGAGUUAACCCGUUGACAUCUUCACGAGGAACGAUGAAACGGCGAAUCCUGGCCGGUGCAAGUCAGUAUGACGCUCAGUAGAAUGCUUCCAUUGGAUAUCGUUCAACGUUAUGUUGAAUUUGGUCCGAACAGAAGGCGGCUUACGUCACCCUACC